GUAAAGUUCACCUGAAGCAGAGUGGUAAUUCCUGUUCAUCAGAUCUCUUUGAUGCCAACAUCUUCCCAUUCAGUGAUAGGGUGGAUUGCUGGCUGGGCUACCUGUAGGCCUGCUGAUAAAAAGAUAGCUUCUGCUGGUGGCUGACUGUGGGUAAGAGUCAUUCGAGCAAAUUGCUUCCCGGAAGCACUGAUUCUCUGCAGUUUGUUCUAGGGAAGACUCCUUCCAGCGAGGCUGGCUGGGCAGGCCACACUUGCAAAGGCGAUGCUCUGAAAUUAGAGGUGAAAGAGGCACGCAUGUGAUCUCAAAUAAAUCCAAACUUCAUGACCCAGAAGAGGUGACCUGAGGCCAACUGGCCUUUAUCUUCUGCCCACUGAAGCCUGGACCCUUAGACGGAUUUAUUUGACUGGAGUAUGUUCACUGAAGAGUCUUGAUAUGGAGCCAAAUGAGCAAUAAGAAAUUACAGAGCAGACAGUGAACAACAGGAUGGAGGGAAAGCCCAGGUGUUCUUAGGCAUGCCGAACCUCGAACGCCUUGUAGGAUGAUGCAGGGCAGAAGGGAGCAAGGCCAGUUGGAACUUGAUUUGGCUCCUGAACUGAGGCGGCAGUCUCUUUAUGCUCCUUUAAAAACCAACCAAACAAAAAACAAAAACAGGG
rnacentral:lncRNA from 1 species